ACCCAGCUAAGUCCCAAACAGGACGAAACGUGCGUCCUAGAU
rfam:Schistosoma curassoni strain Dakar, Senegal genome assembly, scaffold: SCTD_contig0007200